rnacentral:tRNA from 13 species
GCCGCAAUAGCUCAGUUGGUAGAGCAACUGAUUCGUAAUCAGUAGGUCGGAGGUUCGACUCCUCUUUGCGGCACCA